GUGACAAAUCAGAGUUUCUUACAAGUUAUUGUCCUGCUCCCUUCCAAGUUGUCUUGAAGAAUCCUUGCUGCUAACUCUGGAUCCUGCUUUUCCUAUAGUCAGAGGGCUCCAAGGUAGAACUCUCUAAGUCCCUCUCAAUGGCACUCUUUGCCUAGACCAAACUAAUGACCAAACAGUAAUCAAUCUAUCACUGUUGAAGUCCUGGUUUUCUCAACCAAAUUUUAAGUCUUUCCCAGGUAUGUCAGUCGAGUUGCCAUGAAUCCUCACCUGUAGGAGUUUCUGGACAUGUACUUGUAAUAUCAGUGAAAGGGGCUUUUAGUCGUCUCAGUAUCUUUUUUGCAUUCAGGUAUUAUAGCGUUUCCAACAAAUUGAGAAAUUACUUAUUUGGUGUAAAAUGACGAGAGAGCUUUAGAAUUUAAUAAAAUGUCAAAAAUACAAUUUGAUACCCUUAAAAAUUAUUCAUAGAUCUGGCUGCUCUGUACUACUGGAUGGGUGGAAUAGGGAAGCAGAUCACUUUUGCAUACAAAAACUCUUUCAAACCCAAAAUAUUAUUGGUGGUACAUUUUAAAGUCCAAUUGUGGACUUAAAUUAGUCAAAUUGAGAGUUACUGAGUCCAUUCAGAUCUCCAGUAGGGUUUUGUAUCUAAUGUAUUUGGCCACCAGUUUUACAUGUAGGUCAUGACUAUACCUGGAUUUUAUCAUUAAGUUAACUUUAAAGUAUAUACAGUUUGCAAAAAAUGAUUCAAAUUAAUUGGUUUGUAUAUGUUUGUGAGAUCUAGCUUCUGAGGAAUCUCAUACAUAGUAGGAACCAUCAUAGAGUAAAGCUUGUAGC
rnacentral:lncRNA from 1 species